CCUACGGGAGGCAGCAGUGAGGAAUAUUGGUCAAUGGGCGGAAGCCUGAACCAGCCAAGUAGCGUGCGGGAUGACGGCCCUACGGGUCGUAAACCGCUUUUGCACGGGGAUAACACCCUCCACUUGUGGAGGUCUGCAGGUACCGUGCGAAUAAGGGCCGGCUAAUUCCGUGCCAGCAGCCGCGGUAAUACGGAGGGCCCGAGCGUUAUCCGGAUUCAUUGGGUUUAAAGGGAGCGUAGGCGGGCGUUCAAGUCAGCGGUAAAAUCGCGGGGCUCAACCGCGCCCCGCAGUUGAAACUGGAUGCCUUGAGUGCACAACAGGCAGGCGGAAUUCGUGGUGUAGCGGUGAAAUGCAUAGAUAUCACGCGGAACCCCGAUCGCGAAGGCAGCCUGCCGGGGUGCGACUGACGCUGAGGCUCGAAGGUGCGGGUAUCAAACAGGAUUAGAUACCCUAGUAGUC
rnacentral:rRNA from 1 species